GGAAACUGGAUAACUUGAGUGCAGAAGAGGGUAGUGGAACUCAUGUGUAGCGGUGGAAUGCGUAGAUAUAUGGAAGAACACCAGUGGCGAAGGCGGCUACUGGUCUGCAACUGACGCUGAGACUCGAAAGCAUGGGUAGCGAACAGGAUUAGAUACCCUGGUAGUCCAUGCCGUAAACGAUGAGUGCUAGGUGUUGGAGGGUUUCCGCCCUUCAGUGCCGGAGCUAACGCAUUAAGCACUCCGCCUGGGGAGUACGACCGCAAGGUUGAAACUCAAAGGAAUUGACGGGGGCCCGCACAAGCGGUGGAGCAUGUGGUUUAAUUCGAAGCUACGCGAAGAACCUUACCAGGUCUUGACAUCUUGCGCCAACCCUAGAGAUAGGGCGUUUCCUUCGGGAACGCAAUGACAGGUGGUGCAUGGUCGUCGUCAGCUCGUGUCGUGAGAUGUUGGGUUAAGUCCCGCAACGAGCGCAACCCUUGUUACUAGUUGCCAGCAUUAAGUUGGGCACUCUAGUGAGACUGCCGGUGACAAACCGGAGGAAGGUGGGGACGACGUCAGAUCAUCAUGCCCCUUAUGACCUGGGCUACACACGUGCUACAAUGGACGGUACAACGAGUCGCGAACUCGCGAGGGCAAGCAAAUCUCUUAAAACCGUUCUCAGUUCGGACUGCAGGCUGCAACUCGCCUGCACGAAGUCGGAAUCGCUAGUAAUCGCGGAUCAGCAUGCCGCGGUGAAUACGUUCCCGGGCCUUGUACACACCGCCCGUCACACCAUGAGAGUUUGUAACACCCAAAGUCGGUGGGGUAACCUAUAGGAGC
rnacentral:rRNA from 2 species